AGUCGUAACAAGGUCUCCGUAGGUGAACCUGCGGAGGGAUCAUUACCGAGUGAGGGCUUCGGUCCGACCUCCAACCCUGUGUGAACCAAACUUGUUGCUUCGGGGGCGACCCUGCCGCCUCGGCGGCGCGGCGCCCCCGAAGGCCGUCAAACACUGCAUCAUUGCGUCGGAGUCGAAGUAAAUCAAAUAAAA
rnacentral:misc_RNA from 1 species